UACGUAGGGGGCUAGCGUUGUCCGGAAUCAUUGGGCGUAAAGAGCGCGUAGGCGGCCAGAUAAGUCCGGUGUGAAAGUCACAGGCUCAACCUGUGAAUGCCGCUGGAAACUGUCUGGCUAGAGUCCGGAAGGGGCGAGUGGAAUUCCGGGUGUAGCGGUGAAAUGCGUAGAUAUCCGGAGGAACACCGGUGGCGAAGGCGGCUUCCUGGACCGACACUGACGCUGAGGCGCGAAAGCUAGGGGAGCAAACGGG
rnacentral:rRNA from 1 species